rnacentral:rRNA from 1 species
GACGAACGCUGGCGGCGUGCUUAACACAUGCAAGUCGAACGGAGAGGCCCUGCUUUUGUGGGGUGCUCGAGUGGCGAACGGGUGAGUAACACGUGAGUAACCUGCCCUUGACUUUGGGAUAACUUCAGGAAACUGGGGCUAAUACCGGAUAGGAGCUCCUGCUGCAUGGUGGGGGUUGGAAAGUUUCGGCGGUUGGGGAUGGACUCGCGGCUUAUCAGCUUGUUGGUGGGGUAGUGGCUUACCAAGGCUUUGACGGGUAGCCGGCCUGAGAGGGUGACCGGCCACAUUGGGACUGAGAUACGGCCCAGACUCCUACGGGAGGCAGCAGUGGGGAAUAUUGCACAAUGGGCGGAAGCCUGAUGCAGCAACGCCGCGUGCGGGAUGACGGCCGUCGGGUUGUAAACCGCUUUCGCCUGUGACGAAGCGUGAGUGACGGUAAUGGGUAAAGAAGCACCGGCUAACUACGUG